ensembl:miRNA gga-mir-1669 gga-mir-1669
GCCCCCGCUGCCGGCUGCGCUGCUCUGCGCCCAAACGGACGUCGUGCCCGGAACCGUGGGCUCAGAGCAGGCACAGCUGGCGGGGAGGGGC